rnacentral:rRNA from 1 species
UUUAUAAAGAGUUUGAUCCUGGCUCAGGACGAACGCUGGCGGCGCGCCUAACACAUGCAAGUCGAACGAGAGAGAGGGAGCUUGCUUCCUCAAUCGAGUGGCGAACGGGUGAGUAACGCGUGAGGAACCUGCCUCAAAGAGGGGGACAACAGUUGGAAACGACUGCUAAUACCGCAUAAGCCCACGACCCGGCAUCGGGUAGAGGGAAAAGGAGCAAUCCGCUUUGAGAUGGCCUCGCGUCCGAUUAGCUAGUUGGUGAGGUAACGGCCCACCAAGGCGACGAUCGGUAGCCGGACUGAGAGGUUGAACGGCCACAUUGGGACUGAGACACGGCCCAGACUCCUACGGGAGGCAGCAGUGGGGAAUAUUGCACAAUGGGGGAAACCCUGAUGCAGCGACGCCGCGUGGAGGAAGAAGGUCUUCGGAUUGUAAACUCCUGUUGUUGAGGAAGAUAAUGACGGUACUCAACAAGGAAGUGACGGCUAACUACGUGCCAGCAGCCGCGGUAAAACGUAGGUCACAAGCGUUGUCCGGAAUUACUGGGUGUAAAGGGAGCGCAGGCGGGAAGACAAGUUGGAAGUGAAAUCCAUGGGCUCAACCCAUGAACUGCUUUCAAAACUGUUUUUCUUGAGUAGUGCAGAGGUAGGCGGAAUUCCCGGUGUAGCGGUGGAAUGCGUAGAUAUCGGGAGGAACACCAGUGGCGAAGGCGGCCUACUGGGCACCAACUGACGCUGAGGCUCGAAAGUGUGGGUAGCAAACAGGAUUAGAUACCCUGGUAGUCCACACUGUAAACGAUGAUUACUAGGUGUUGGAGGAUUGACCCCUUCAGUGCCGCAGUUAACACAAUAAGUAAUCCACCUGGGGAGUACGACCGCAAGGUUGAAACUCAAAGGAAUUGACGGGGGCCCGCACAAGCAGUGGAGUAUGUGGUUUAAUUCGACGCAACGCGAAGAACCUUACCAAGUCUUGACAUCCUGCGACGGUGCUGGAAACAGUACUUUCCUUCGGGACGCAGAGACAGGUGGUGCAUGGUUGUCGUCAGCUCGUGUCGUGAGAUGUUGGGUUAAGU